GAUGAAGAACGUAGCGAAAUGCGAUAAGUAAUGUGAAUUGCAGAAUUCAGUGAAUCAUCGAAUCUUUGAACGCACCUUGCGCCCUUUGGCUAUUCCGAAGGGCAUGCCUGUUUGAGUAUCAUGAACACCUCAACUCUUCAUGGUUUUCCAUGAAGGGCUUGGACUUUGGGGGUCUUGCUGGCCUUUAGUCAGCUCCUCUCAAACGAAUCAGCUUUCCCGUGUUUGGCAGCGUCACAGGUGUGAUAACUAUCUACGCUUGUGGUUUUCUGCCAGGUAAUCCUCAGUGAUGGGGAUUCGCUGGGGCUUAUAAAUGUCUCUCCUCAGCGAAGACAGCUUUGUGAACGUUUGAUCUCAAAUCAGGUAGGACUACCCGCUGAACUUAAGCAUAUCAAUAAGCGGAGGA
rnacentral:misc_RNA from 1 species